rnacentral:misc_RNA from 1 species
UAUCCGUAGGUGAACCUGCGGAAGGAUCAUUAACGAACGCCCCGUUAUUUGAAAUGGUGAAUUCUACACCGUGUAUACAUACCUUUGUUGCUUUGGCAGGCCGCCCCUCAGGGCGUCGGCUCCGGCUGACUGCGCCUGCCAGAGGACCCAAACUCUUUUGUUUAGUGAUGUCUGAGUACUAUAUAAUAGUUAAAACUUUCAACAACGGAUCUCUUGGUUCUG